UGAAAGGUUCUUAACUCGGUACUCUAUUUGUAUCAUAUUGUCGUCCCUUUGUAGACCUGUGAUUACCCCCCGCCCCGCAAUAGACUGGUCACUUUGGACUGUGUAAAUAAAAAAGUGUCCUCAACCUCACUAUGCAAUGGAGAUGAUUGGUCCGUAUGGUUUGAUGUAAUUAGACGUAUAUAUUCCAAGGCCCUGAGAAGUAGCUUCUGUAAAUUCAGACUAAUAUUCAGAAAGUAAGAACUAAUCUAUGUAAGUUCCAUCCUAUUUAUGCAUGUUGGCGCCAAUGGUCAUCUGGGCCCUCAUUGAAUCUUGUGUUUCGAUAAAAAAAAGGGUACUAUAUUGCUGGGACUGUAUUUUCAUAUUUAAUACAACUUUUAAACUAAAUUAUUAUGUCUGUCAUUCUUAAAUAUUGAUGAUUCUAAGGUAAUGGGUUGCAAUUGGUAUGUAAAAUAUCAUUGAACCCCUAGGUUUCAUAAUAUAUUUGUGGGAGAUACUACUAUAUGCAAGGCAUGGGUCGGGAGUAUGAUACGCAAGACAUGACAGCAAGGUCUCUUAGAGAUCCUAAACCUCAGAUUUCGGGAGUCCCACUCCCAGCAGAGUUGCUAAAACUGUGUUCGCACACAAACACGCUACCAUGUGCCCCAGGGGUACACAUGACACGUGGCCAAAGGAGCCUCAACCAAUUGUUGAGUGAUAAAAUGACAUAUGGUUGCAGGAGCCUUGUCAGGAGCGUGAUAUGUAAAACACAUCGACAAGGUUUACUAGAGGCAUCCCUUUCAUAAGCAUAGCAUAGGUGGGCAAUUGACAGAAUUGCACAUAGUUAUGAUUAUGAUUCUUGAUGGCAUGACUCGUAUAGGCAUUAUGUUCGUGAUAAGUGGAUUGUUAAUCCAACUGCAUCUACUACUGUUACUUCACCCUAAACUACUAUCCAAUACGUAUCUCAAAUUAUUAAAUUCAUGACAAGAUUGCUUUCCAGCAUGCAUCUCAAAGUAUUAAAUUCAUGACAAACAGAUAAUGCUUUAAGUAAGAUGACAUAAUAUAGACAAUGUAAGACCAAGCAAUAUGUUCAAACCCCGUCGUUUCAUUUUUAGUAGCAACAAUACAAUGCGUGCCUUGCAACUCCUCCUAUCAUAGAGUAAAGGACACUAUAAGAUUGAGCCCAUUACUAUGCACCACUCUCUCUGAAGAUCUAAUCAUCUAAUUGGCCAAAGAAGACUCAUAGAUCGGAAAGCAUACAUAGCUAUUAAAUCACACAUAAUAGAUCUCAAAAAGCUUCAAAUAGUUUCAAUGAAUAAUCGGAUCAUAAACCCACAAGUCAUCGGAUCCCAACAUGGACACCGUGAGAAUUACAUCGAACAGUUCUCCAAAGAGAUCGGUGUAUUGAAGAUCAGAGAGAGAGAAAGAGAGGGAGAGAGAAAUAGAGAGAGAAAGAGAAAGAGAGAGAGAGAGAAAGCCAUCUAGCUACUACUAUGGACCCGUAGGUCCUGCUCACUCAUCAUCAUGGAGGCAGCAAGGUCGGUGAAGAUUGCCUCCCAAAUGGGUUCCCCCUCCGGCAGAGGAUCAAAAAAGGCCUCUAGAUAGGAUCGCGAAAGCAUAUAGGCUUGCGACGAUGAAAAAAUUGUUCCAAGUCUCGCUCUGUUUUUUUGAUUAUUUGUGAAUUUAUAGGCUUGGAAUUAAGGCAAAUGGAGCCACGGUGGGCCCACAAGCUCACAUGGCGCGCCCCCAGGAGUGCAUCGCCUGAGCUUGUGGCCCCCCUUGAUCAUUGUCUGGUGCCUCCCCGAAGCUUCUAGGGUCAUUCCUGGUCUAGAAAAAUUCUCCGUAAAGUUUCAUCGUGUUUGGAGUUCGUUUGGUACUCCCUCCAUUUUUAUAUACAAAAUCACAAACUCAGAUUACAGAUACUAAUGUAAAAUUUAAUGCUUGCGUUGCAAUUCAUCUUUUCUUUUUGUUUACUGGGUCAUCAAUACGUCGCGUGCAUGCAAACAAACUGAGUGGGGGAAGUAGUUGACUGUCGUUAUAACUGCAUGCGUGCAAGUAUUAAAUAGGUUUCUAGUACGAGAAAAUAUUAUUAAUUUUUCCUCGAUUACAGUUAGUUGCCUUUAUAGAUGCAAAAUGUAUAUUUCAUAGUGACCUUGUAUAAGUAAAUGGAGGAAGAAUGGUUUUUGUGCAAAAACAAAGAAAUAGACAAAAAAAAAA
rnacentral:lncRNA from 1 species